rnacentral:rRNA from 1 species
UACAGAGGUCUCAAGCGUUGUUCGGAAUCACUGGGCGUAAAGGGUGCGUAGGUGGCGUGGUAAGUCAGAUGUGAAAGCCCGGGGCUCAACCUCGGAAUUGCAUCCGAUACUGCCGUGCUAGAGUACUGAAGAGGUGACUAGAAUUCUCGGUGUAGCAGUGAAAUGCGUAGAUAUCGAGAGGAAUACCAACGGCGAAGGCAGGUCACUGGGCAGUUAUUGACACUGAGGCACGAAGGCCAGGGGAGCAAACGGG